GCUCGUAGUCGGAUUUUGGGCGCGUGUGGGCUGUCGGCCUCUGGUCGGACGGCAUGCGCGUGCCUUUCUGCUUGGGAGCCCCAUGGCGGUUCACGCCGUCGUGGUGGGUCACAGGCCGUUUACUUUGAAAAAAUUAGAGUGUUCAAAGCAGGCUAUUGCUUGAAUAGAUUAGCAUGGAAUAAUGGAAUAGGACCUUGGUGCUAUUUCGUUGGUUAUGGGACUGGGGUAAUGAUUAAUAGGGACAGUUGGGGCCGUUCAUAUUUCGUUGUCAGAGGUGAAAUUCUUGGAUUUACGAACGAUGAACUUGUGCGAAAGCAUUCGGCAAGGAUGUUUUCAUUGAUCAAGAACGAAAGUUAGGGGAUCGAAGACGAUCAGAUACCGUCGUAGUCUUAACCAUAAACUAUGCCAACUAGGGAUCAUUGAGUGUCAAUUUACGACCUCAUUGGCACCUUGUGAGAAAUCAAAGUUUUUGGGUUCCGGGGGGAGUAUGGUCGCAAGGCUGAAACCUAAAGGAAUUGACGGAAGGGCACCACCAGGAGUGGAGCCUGCGGCUUAAUUUGACUCAACACGGGGAAACUUACCAGGUCCAGACAUAGUCAGGAUGGACAGAUUGAAAGCUCUUUCUUGAUUCUAUGGGUGGUGGUGCAUGGCCGUUCUUAGUUGGUGG
rnacentral:rRNA from 1 species